AUGACACUAAGUCCUGUGGCAGCUCAAGAAUUAAUGGUCUACCCAGACUUAUUGUACCACAGUAAAGUCCAAUGUUAUUAUGAGUUGAGAACACAAGGAUUCAUUUUGCAGCAGCAACCAAAUCAAAGUCACAGGUAUCAUCCAGCUCACUCCCAGCAAGUCAUCCUAGGAUACCAUUCUCCUUUAUACGUGGAUCUCCAGAAGAAACCUGGAUCAUAUGGUGAAAAUAGAUGGAGAGAUGGGGAACAACGAAGGAAACACAAAGAACUUACCUUUUCAGAAAUGGAUCCCCAAAUGUUUUAUAGCAGAGCCAACCAUGAGGAAUUUGCUUCUGCUCUAAACUACAGCUGUGAAGAAAAAUGACAAGAGAAGAAGCCAAGACCACAUUCCACUUAUUACAAAUUUUAUUAAUAUAGAAUAAAUGAAAUCCAAUAAUGA
rnacentral:lncRNA from 1 species